rnacentral:rRNA from 1 species
UCUCUCCGAGAUGUAUCCCGAGUAGUGCGGGGCACGUGAAACCCCGUAUGAAUCCGGCAGGACCAUCUGCCAAGGCUAAAUACUUCCUAGCGACCGAUAGUGAAGCAGUACCGUGAGGGAAAGGUGAAAAGCACCCCGGAAGGGGAGUGAAAUAGAACCUGAAACCGUGUGCUUACAAAAAGUCAGAGCCCGUUUUAGGGGUGAUGGCGUGCCUUUUGUAGAAUGAACCGGCGAGUUACGUUCCCGUGCAAGGUUAAGGUGAAGAGCCGGAGCCGCAGCGAAAGCGAGUCUGAAUAGGGCGACAUAGUACGUGGACGUAGACCCGAAACCGGGUGAUCUACCCCUGUCCAGGGUGAAGGUGCGGUAACACGCACUGGAGGCCCGAACCCACGCACGUUGAAAAGUGCGGGGAUGAGGUGGGGGUAGCGGAGAAAUUCCAAUCGAACUCGGAGAUAGCUGGUUCUCCCCGAAAUAGCUUUAGGGCUAGCCUCGGAAAACAGAGUCGUGGAGGUAGAGCACUGAUUGGGUGCGGGGCCCGCAAGGGUUACCAAGCUCAGUCAAACUCCGAAUGCCAUAGACUUACUUCCGGGAGUCAGACAGUGAGUGCUAAGAUCCAUUGUCAAAAGGGAAACAGCCCAGACCAUCAGCUAAGGUCCCCAAGUGUGUGUUAAGUGGGAAAGGAUGUGGAGUUGCACAGACAACCAGGAUGUUGGCUUAGAAGCAGCCACCAUUGAAAGAGUGCGUAAUAGCUCACUGGUCGAGUGACUCUGCGCCGAAAAUGUAACGGGGCUAAACACACCACCGAAGCUAUGGCUUGAUGCUUUGCAUCAGGGGUAGGGGAGCGUUGUAUAAGGGUUGAAGGUGUACCGUAAGGAGCGCUGGACAUUAUACAAGUGAGAAUGCCGGUAUGAGUAACGAAAAGAUCAGUGAGAAUCUGAUCCGCCGAAAGCCUAAGGGUUCCUGAGGAAGGCUCGUCCGCUCAGGGUAAGUCGGGACCUAAGGCGAGGCCGAAAGGCGUAGUCGAAGGACAACAGGUCGAAAUUCCUGUACCACCGUAAGCCGUUAUGAGCAAUGGGGGGACGCAGCAGGGUAGUGACGCGGACUGAUGGAUGUCCGUCUAAGCAGUGAGGCUGAUGUGUAGG